rnacentral:rRNA from 1 species
AUUGAACGCUGGCGGCAGGCCUAACACAUGCAAGUCGAGCGAGCGGCGGACGGGUGAGUAAUGUCUGGGAAACUGCCUGAUGGAGGGGGAUAACUACUGGAAACGGUAGCUAAUACCGCAUACCAUCAGAUGUGCCCAGAUGGGAUUAGCUAGUUGGUGGGGUAAAGGCCUACCAAGGCGACGAUCAGUAGCGGGUCUGAGAGGAUGAUCCGCCACACUGGGACUGAGACACGGCCCAGACUCCUACGGGAGGCAGCAGUGGGGAAUUUUGGACAAUGGGCGCAAGCCUGAUCCAGCCAUGCCGCGUGUCUGAAGAAGGCCUUCGGGUUGUAAAGGACUUUUGGUAGCGAGGCGUUAACUACAGAAGAAGCACCGGCUAACUCCGUGCCAGCCGCCGCGGUAAUAC